rnacentral:rRNA from 1 species
GAUGAACGCUAGCGGCAGGCCUAAUACAUGCAAGUCGAGGGGCAGCGCGGUAGCAAUACUGGCGGCGACCGGCGCACGGGUGCGUAACACGUAUGCAACCUACCUUCAACUGGAGGAUAGCCCGGGGAAACUCGGAUUAAUACUCCAUAACACAGGGAUCCCGCAUGGGAAUAUUGUUAAAGCUACGGCGGUUGAAGAUGGGCAUGCGUUCGAUUAGCUAGUUGGUGUAGGUAACGGCUCACCAAGGCUACGAUCGAUAGGGGGUCUGAGAGGAUGAUCCCCCACACUGGUACUGAGAUACGGACCAGACUCCUACGGGAGGCAGCAGUAGGGAAUAUUGGUCAAUGGGCGCAAGCCUGAACCAGCCAUGCCGCGUGCAGGAAGAAGGGCCCCUCUGGGGUUGUAAACUGCUUUUGAUAGGGACAAAUGCCACUUGCGAGUGGAGCUGAGUGUACCUAUAGAAUAAGCACCGGCUAACUCCGUGCCAGCAGCCGACGG